rnacentral:rRNA from 1 species
AAAGCGUGCGCAGGCGGUUUUGUAAGACUGUCGUGAAAUCCCCGGGCUUAACCUGGGAAUGGCGAUGGUGACUGCAAGGCUAGAGUUUGGCAGAGGGGGGUAGAAUUCCACGUGUAGCAGUGAAAUGCGUAGAUAUGUGGAGGAACACCGAUGGCGAAGGCAGCCCCCUGGGUCAAAACUGACGCUCAUGCACGAAAGCGUGGGGAGCAAACAGGAAUAGAUACCCCAGU